UGAUAGAGAAUGGAGAUGAUCUAUCCUAU
rnacentral:piRNA from 1 species